rnacentral:rRNA from 1 species
AUUGAACGCUGGCGGCAGGCCUAACACAUGCAAGUCGAGCGGAUGAAGGGAGCUUGCUCCUGGAUUCAGCGGCGGACGGGUGAGUAAUGCCUAGGAAUCUGCCUGGUAGUGGGGGAUAACGUCCGGAAACGGGCGCUAAUACCGCAUACGUCCUGAGGGAGAAAGUGGGGGAUCUUCGGACCUCACGCUAUCAGAUGAGCCUAGGUCGGAUUAGCUAGUUGGUGGGGUAAAGGCCUACCAAGGCGACGAUCCGUAACUGGUCUGAGAGGAUGAUCAGUCACACUGGAACUGAGACACGGUCCAGACUCCUACGGGAGGAAGCAGUGGGAAAUAUUGGACAAUGGGCGAAAGCCUGAUCCAGCCAUGCCGCGUGUGUGAAGAAGGUCUUCGGAUUGUAAAGCACUUUAAGUUGGGAGGAAGGGCAGUAAGUUAAUACCUUGCUGUUUUGACGUUACCAACAGAAUAAGCACCGGCUAACUUCGUG